rnacentral:rRNA from 1 species
GACAGAGGGGGCAAGCGUUGCUCGGAAUUACUGGGCGUAAAGGGCGCGUAAGCGGGAUGGCAAGUCGGUCGUGAAAUCCCUCGGCUCAACCGAGGAACGUCGAUCGAUACUGCUGUUCUUGAGGAUUGCAGAGGAGACUGGAAUUCCCGGUGUAGCGGUGAAAUGUGUAGAGAUCGGGAGGAACGACCGGUGGCGAAGGCGGGUCUCUGGGCAAUUCCUGACGCUGAGGCGCGAAAGCGUGGGGAGCAAACGGG